rnacentral:tRNA from 1 species
GCCUGGGUGGCUCAGUCGGUUGAGCAUCUGACUUCAGCUCAGGUCGUGAUCUCACAGUUUGUGAGUUUGAGCCCCGCAUCGGGCU